UCCCAAGUCAAAGCCAAUAGAUACUUUAGU
rnacentral:piRNA from 1 species